UGAAUCGCUUUUUUCAAAGCCCUUCUUUUAUACCCCUUUGCUUAUAACCCAAAUCUUUACUUCCACUGGGCAGUGCUACAUCAGUCCCUUGGGAAUGGUGCAACACACUGGGCUUUUAGCUCAGGAGUCUCGGUGGCUUGGUGUAGAAGCCUUUUUGGCCGAUACACUGAAAACUUAAACCCAACAUUAUAUAUAUCGUCUGAAAAAAGCUUUAAAUUAUUUAAAACUUUCAACAACGGAUCUCUAGGCUCUUGCAUCGAUGAAGAACGCAGUGAAAUGCGAUAAGUAAUGUGAAUUGCACAACCUCGUGAAUCAUCGAAUCUUUGAACGCACAUUGCGCCCUAUGGUAUUCCGUAGGGCAUGCCUGUCUGAGCGUCAGCUCCCCCCCACUCACACCCUUUUGUGUGGACUCUUUAGAAAAGCAAGACUUGGUAACAGGGCUUGCCUUCUAUAAAUGCAUCGGCAGUAUGUUUGACUCUGGUCCAAGCGUAAUAAUAACAAAAUCGUUUGACUUGAGUAGGAUUGUACUUGCCUUUAACCCACC
rnacentral:rRNA from 1 species